rnacentral:rRNA from 1 species
GACGAACGCUGGCGGCGUGCUUAACACAUGCAAGUCGAGCGAGCGGCGGACGGGUGAGCAAUGUCUGGGAAACUGCCUGAUGGAGGGGGAUAACUACUGGAAACGGUAGCUAAUAACGCAUACCAUCAGAUGUGCCCAGAUGGGUAUAGCUAGGAGGUGGGGUAAAGGCUCACCUAGGCGACGAUCCCUAGCUGGUCUGAGAGGAUGCCCAGCCACACUGGAACUGAGACACGGUCCAGACUCCUACGGGAGGCAGCAGUGGGGAAUAUUGGACAAUGGGCGCAAGCCUGAUGCAGCCAUGCCGCGUGUGUGAAGAAGGCCUUCGGGUUGUAAAGCACUUUAAGCGAGGAGGCGUUACUCGCAGAAGAAGCACCGGCUAACUCCGUGCCAGCCGCCGCGGUAAUUC